ensembl:lncRNA
UGCUACACACAUGGAUGUGAUCAUGGAUGGGGGGGCAAAGGGGGGAGAGACAGAGAAUGUGCAAUAAGCCUUGAGUCUUCCCAUUCUGCAAAUGGGACUGAUCAACUAACUGGCUACCCUAAGAAUUCCUCAGUUGGCAACCAUGAAGGGAUUCAAGAACCCUGGAGCAACCCUCCCAAACUGAGGAACUUCUCUCCAGGAGAUCACACCUGGAGUUUGGACUUCCCCUUGAAUCUGAUACAAAUUCUUCCAAGUCAAAAUAAAACUAUAAUAGCAAAAACAUCUAAGAAUCUCCGCAAGUAACCUGAACCAGAGAAACAAUCUUCUAGGAGAAGCCUUCCUCUUCAGAGCUGCUUGGAACAUAGACCAUUCCAGAAUGCUCAAAAGAAGAUGCUUUUAGAAACCAGAGGCCUCCAUGAAACAUCUGAGACCUAUUUGAAAUAGAUUACUGGGAAGGAGGCUUAAUGUUUGUCCUUCCUUAAGCACCACUGCCUCUGUAAAACCUUCUUAUCAGUUCAUUAAUGUGUCAGUCAUUGGUGAGCUCAAAGAUCAAGGGACAAAUUCUUGUAAGAUUAGAUAUCAUGAUUUUGGGACAAACAUCUCUAAAAUUAGUCCCAUUAAAGUAGAAUAUCUGGGAUAUAAUUUCUUUAGCCCCUAUUCCCAUAUCCUGGGGUCAUGGUAUUAGCAUAAAAAGGGUAUACACAAGUCCAUCAAGGGGCCUGUGACCUGUUAUAGUGCUUUCCUAGUCCAAGACCUCAUAAUUGCCUUUGGGCUUGGAUAAAUUUAUUCCUGAGAAAUGAUAGUUCACAAUGAUUCAGAUUUCUUAUUCAUGACAUUUUUGUUUCUGUAAUCAUUAUUUCACCUUAACUAAACAUUAUGGAGUGAUAGACAUGUGAUUUUUUACUAUAUUUUGAUUUUUAACUUAAACAUUAUGUGAUUCAUGGGACCCUUGGUCUUCCAAGAAUCAAAGGGGGGUAAUUUAAAAUUAAAAAUUGGUUUUUAAUUCCAUCUUGUUCAAACAUAAUCAAACUAGAUUUUCUACUUGCCCUAGCUGUUCUAUAUUCAAGUCAAUUAGAUCUUGAUUCUAUUUUUGCAACUUGUAUCCUUGUACCUUUACCUCUCAUCGGCAUUUCAUGAAUCAUACAUCUUGUUUGUGGCUAUGAGGGUUUCAGAAGGAAGGGUCCAAAUGUUGUGAUAUAAAGCAGAUGUGAGAGAUUUUUACUUUCUAGCCAGUCAGAAGAAGAUACAUCUAACUACUCAAGAUUUUGCUCUGUCAUCUUAGUUAUCACCAUAAAAGACCCUG